ACUCCUACGGGAGGCAGCAGUGGGGAAUAUUGCACAAUGGGCGCAAGCCUGAUGCAGCCAUGCCGCGUGUAUGAAGAAGGCCUUCGGUUGUAAAGUACUUUCAGCAGUGAGGAAGGUGGGUAUGUUAAUAGCAUAUUCAUUUGACGUUAGCUGCAGAAGAAGCACCGGCUAACUCCGUGCCAGCAGCCGCGGUAAUACGGAGGGUGCGAGCGUUAAUCGGAAUUACUGGGCGUAAAGCGCAUGCAGGUGGUUUGUUAAGUCAGAUGUGAAAGCCCGGGGCUCAACCUCGGAAUUGCAUUUGAAACUGGCAAACUAGAGUACUGUAGAGGGGGUAGAAUUUCAGGUGUAGCGGUGAAAUGCGUAGAGAUCUGAAGGAAUACCGGUGGCGAAGGCGGCCCCCUGGACAGAUACUGACACUCAGAUGCGAAAGCGU
rnacentral:rRNA from 1 species